AACGAACGGUGGCGGCGUGGAUAAGACAUGCAAGUCGAACGGGAUUUUCAGUGUAGCAAUACAUUGAAAGUUCAGUGGCGUAAGGGUGCGUAACACGUGGGAAAUCUGCCGAGAAGUGGGGGAUAGCUCGCCGAAAGGCGAAUUAAUACCGCAUGUGGUCAGCGAGGACAUCCUCGCGAAACCAAAGCCGGGGCAACCUGGCGCUUCUUGAUGAUCCCGCGGCCUAUCAGCUAGUUGGCGGGGUAAAAGCCCACCAAGGCUAUGACGGGUAGCUGGUCUGAGAGGACGACCAGUCACACUGGAACUGAGACACGGUCCAGACACCUACGGGUGGCAGCAGUCGAGUAAUUUUUCUCAAUGGGGGAAACCCUGAAGGAGCGACGCCGCGUGGAGGAUGAAGGUCUUCGGAUUGUAAACUCCUGUCAUUAGAGAACAAGGCUGCAGGGAGUCACU
rnacentral:rRNA from 1 species